rnacentral:rRNA from 1 species
ACGCGCAGAACCUUACCAACCCUUGACAUACUCGUCGUCGCUCCAGAGAUGGAGCUUUCAGCUAGGCUGGACGAGAUACAGGUGCUGCAUGGCUGUCGUCAGCUCGUGUCGUGAGAUGUUCGGUUAAGUCCGGCAACGAGCGCAACCCACAUCCUUAGUUGCCAGCAGUUCGGCUGGGCACUCUAGGGAAACUGCCCGUGAUAAGCGGGAGGAAGGUGUGGAUGACGUCAAGUCCUCAUGGCCCUUACGGGUUGGGCUACACACGUGCUACAAUGGCAGUGACAAUGGGUUAAUCCCAAAAAACUGUCUCAGUUCGGAUUGGGGUCUGCAACUCGACCCCAUGAAGUCGGAAUCGCUAGUAAUCGCGUAACAGCAUGACGCGGUGAAUACGUUCCCGGGCCUUGUACACACCGCCCGUCACACCAUGGGAGUUGGUUCUACCCGACGACGCUGCGCUAACCUUCGGGGG